ensembl:snRNA U6 U6 spliceosomal RNA
GCGCUCACGUCAGCCGCACAGAUACUAAAAUUGGAAUGGCACAGAGAAGAUUAUCGCAGCCCCUUUGUAAGGAUAGCAUGCAGAUUUGCAUAGUAUUCUGUAUUUUG